GUGCUCGCUUCGGCAGCAUAUAUAUUAAAACUGGAACGAUACAGAGAUUAGCAUGGCCCCUGCGCAAGGAUGACACGCAAAUUUGUGAAGCAUUCCAUAUUUUU
rnacentral:snRNA from 1 species